GCCUACGGGGCGCAGCAGUGAGGAAUAUUGGUCAAUGGGCUAAGGCCUGAACCAGCCAAGUCGCGUGAGGGAAGACGGUCCUAUGGAUUGUAAACCUCUUUUGUCGGGGAGCAACGAGGCCACGUGUGGCCGAAGUGAGAGUACCCGAAGAAAAAGCAUCGGCUAACUCCGUGCCAGCAGCCGCGGUAAUACGGAGGAUGCGAGCGUUAUCCGGAUUUAUUGGGUUUAAAGGGUGCGUAGGCGGAAUGCCAAGUCAGCGGUAAAAUCGCGGGGCUCAACCUCGCUCCGCCGUUGAAACUGGCGUU
rnacentral:rRNA from 1 species